CAGAGGUGAGGGGUGAGUGGAGGAUGACUGCAGCACUCUCACAGCGAGAGGCCAGAUCCACAGAUGGCACAGUGCCAAUGCUCUGGCCAUACACAAUCACGUUCUCUGGCCGAAUGCCAUACCUCAAUGAUUCAAGGCUUCAACCUGUGACCUUCCAUCUACAAGACAUUCACGCAUAUGCUGCCCUGCUAUUUUAGUGGCUAUUCCUCACACAAGAGAGACUUUGCACACAGCUUCACUGGCAUGAGAGCUAAUCUGCUCCGCUUCAACCAAGCCAUCCACGUAAAAAAGACACACACUGCCAGGCAGGCAAACAUUACAAGGCUACAAUUUAUUCCAUUGCAUUUCAGCUUGAACAGUCUUCACUAAAGCCACAGCCCGCCAUACUCCAUGGUUACACCCCUCCCCCAAACUGUCAUCAAU